rnacentral:lncRNA from 10 species
CUGCCUUCUAAAAAUAUAUAUCACCUAAGUGAUAAGCUGUGACCCUGAGGAUGGGUGAGGAAGGGCAUUGCACCUUUUGCCUCUACAGUGGAUAUGGUGUUUUGCAUUCAUCAAGCCUAAGCAAACUUUUUCAUAAAGUUAGACUAUAUGGAGAGAGGAGUUUUAAAGAUGGACGUCUGGAAUCAGGUGGCUCACAGUCAUUCCAGUAUUUCCUGGAUAGGACCGAACAGUCCGAUUCUUGCACAUCUAAGACUAAGUAAUAUACAGUUGUAUUUUCCUGAGGAAUGCCAAAAGCAACAUAUGCUCUACCUUUGCGUCAUUUGAUCUAUUGAUUCCAAUACAUAGCUUCAAUGAGUUAUUUCCAAAUCUUUUUAAGUGGUCCUGAUUUGUCUUCUGCCCAUAAACUUGAAGAAGCUAUCACUAAACGGCAGUGGUGGUUUAGCGGAGGCAUCAUCACCUACGCAUGCCUGGA